GAGGGAACGAGCGCUCUGGCGGGAGUGCGGAGGGGGGGAUCUUGCCUGAAGCAGGUUGUAGAACAGAAAGGAAGAAUCCAGAUGGAAGUGGCAGGCUCUGAGAAGACUGAGCUGGGAGUUCAGUUCAGCAAAGGUCUUUGGAGAAGUGGAAGCUGCUGUGGAGCAAGUUUACUGUGAGGAUGGCUGUUUUCCACUGAGUCAGCAGAGGUCCCAACUUGCUUAAGCCGUUGAUGCAGAGACAUUACAGCCAUCUUGACCUGGUAAAGCUCCCAUGGGCAAGGGACACCAAGGCUCACAUGAAAGGAAAGAAAGAGCUAGAACAAGUAGAGAAAGGAAGGAGGAAGAAAGAGAAGAAGAGGAAGAGCAGGAAGAGGAGAAGAAGAGGAAGGAGAAAAAAGAAGAUCCCCCCUGCCACCACACCCCCAGCGCCAGGCAAGUCUCACCCUGCUGCCUGUGGUGUCUCUGGUGUUUACUUAUUCCCUUCCUCUUGGCCUCCCUGCCCUAUUCCAAGCUAGCAGAACACAAUGACCUGACUACUUUCUUCCCAUUUCCUCUCUCAGGCUUUUUACUUUGAAAACAGACUUGAGUGUAUACACAGAGAACAAGGCUCUUUAUAGUAAAUGCAAAAA